rnacentral:lncRNA from 1 species
GAACUCUCCAAGAAGUUAAUCCUGCUAGGGCAUUAAUGUGUAAAAUAAAGGUUGGAAACCCUAUUUUCUCGUCACACUCUCUUUUCCAAAUAGUAACUUUUCUAUCGAACAAGUUAUUGCUAUAAUGACGUAUUCCCUAUGUUUGCAACCAUGAGAUUCAAUCAAAUGAAGAGAGUAAUGAUAUAAGUGGAUUAACACAUCAUAAAUUCAAAAACCCAUAGCAAUAGAGAGUAUACUACAAGUUUUACAUAACCCUAACAGAUAAACUUAGCUACUCAUGAAUAAAACAGAAAUCAACAUAGAAAUAUUCAUCAUACCAAAACUUAGAACGAUCUUGGUGAUGAAGGUGACUAGCAAAAUUAAAAGACAAAACACGUUUCUCUCUCUCUGUCCUCAAGCUAAGCCGCUUUCUCUUGUUUUCAAAAUAAUACAGAAUGUCAAUAAUCCCUAAAAAUUCAGCAAUAAUGCUUUUAAUAAUAUCAUUCUCUAAUAAAUUGCUACUGCAUCCUUAACUAUUUAAAAAUAUUGAGUUUGCCCCGGAAAAAGUUCACAUACAUCACAUUCAGUCCAAAAGCUGCUUUCCUUGUUAUGUGAAGUUUUCCUUUUCUGUCCACAGGUCCCCAAAGUGCUGAAAUCUUCNNNN